AACUUCUGAAUGUUGACCUCGGAUCAGGUAGGAAUACCCGCUGAACUUAAGCAUAUCAAUAAGCGGAGGAAAAGAAACCAACAGGGAUUGCCCUAGUAACGGCGAGUGAAGCGGCAACAGCUCAAAUUUGAAAUCUGGCUCUCGGGCCCGAGUUGUAAUUUGUAGAGGAUGCUUUUGAUGCGGUGCCUUCCGAGUUCCCUGGAACGGGACGCCAUAGAGGGUGAGAGCCCCGUCUGGUUGGAUGCCAAAUCUCUGUAAAGCUCCUUCGACGAGUCGAGUAGUUUGGGAAUGCUGCUCUAAAUGGGAGGUAUAUGUCUUCUAAAGCUAAAUAUUGGCCAGAGACCGAUAGCGCACAAGUAGAGUGAUCGAAAGAUGAAAAGCACUUUGAAAAGAGAGUUAAAAAGUACGUGAAAUUGUUGAAAGGGAAGCGUUUAUGACCAGACUUGGGCUUGGUUAAUCAUCUGGGGUUCUCCCCAGUGCACUUUUCCAGUCCAGGCCAGCAUCAGUUUUCGCCGGGGGACAAAGGCUUCGGGAAUGUGGCUCCCUCCGGGGAGUGUUAUAGCCCGUUGCGUAAUACCCUGGCGGGGACUGAGGUUCGCGCAUCUGCAAGGAUGCUGGCGUAAUGGUCAUCAACGACCCGUCU
rnacentral:rRNA from 1 species